GGAGAGAUGGCUCAGUGGUUAAGAGCACUGACUGUUCUUCCAGAAGUCCUGAGUUCAAUUCCCAGCAACCACA
rnacentral:tRNA from 1 species